GCGGCACCACAAAACCAUCCAAUCUAUCUCACGGCUUAAGACCACAAAUUCAAUUUCCUUCUCUGCACAACAAAACCGCAAACCAUUUCUUCCUUCUUAAUACCGAGAUACCAUUCUCUUCAUCUUCAACCAACCGACCUCAAAGCCACCAGCUACAACAAAUUCCAGCCGCAAUUUAGGAGCUAAAGACCACCGACUGCACUUGGCCGAGAGCUAGGGGAGAAAUUUCUGGAAUAUUUCGUGUGAAGGAUUAGCUGCUAGCUGAGGGUAUUGCGAGGACGCGGAAUUCGAUUCCAACUUGAUAUCUGACCUCCACUCUCGGUUCUGGAAACUGAAAGCUAGAUGCUUAAUUAUGUUUUUCUCUUGGACUGUAUUUGAAUACUACAACUUAUUCAGUGGGCUGUAAUGUGUUAUUUGGGAUAAUGUAAUUUCCUUUUUUUUUGAUUGCCACUUGACGCUGGAAAAUGUGUAAACCCUAAUUCGAUUCUUGGCUUGUAAGUUGUAUUAUGGACUUAUGCAUUUCAUCUAUCCGGUUUGA